GAUGAAGAACGUAGCGAAAUGCGAUACGUAAUGUGAAUUGCAGAAUUCAGUGAAUCAUCGAAUCUUUGAACGCAUAUUGCGCUCUCUGGUAUUCCGGAGAGCAUGCUUGUUUGAGUAUCAGUAAACACCUCAACUCCCUUUUCUUUUUUGAAAUGGGAGCUGGACUUGAGUGAUCCCAACACUUUUCUCACUGGAAAGUGGCGGGUCACUUGAAAUGCAGGUGCAGCUGGACUUUUCUCUGAGCUAUAAGCAUAUCUAUUUAGUCUGCCUAAAAAACAGAUUAUUACCUUUGCUGCAGCUAACAUAAAGGAGAUGAGUUCUUGUGCUGACUGAUGCAGGAUUCACAGAGACAGCUUUGCGGCUGACUUUGUAAACUCGAUCUCAAAUCAAGUAAGACUACCCGCUGAACUUAAGCAUAUCAAUAAGCGAGGA
rnacentral:misc_RNA from 1 species